AAGUCGUAACAAGGUCUCCGUUGGUGAACCAGCGGAGGGAUCAUUACAGAGUUGCAAAACUCCCACAAACCAUCGCGAAUCUUACCCGUACGGUUGCCUCGGCGCUGGCGGUCCUUCGGGACCCUCGGGCCUCCCGCUCGCGGGGGGCUGCCCGCCGGAGUGCCGAAACCAAACUCUUGAUAUUUUAUGUCUCUCUGAGUAAACUUUUAAAUAAGUCAAAACUUUCAACAACGGAUCUCUUGGUUCUGGCAUCGAUGAAGAACGCAGCGAAAUGCGAUAAGUAAUGUGAAUUGCAGAAUUCAGUGAAUCAUCGAAUCUUUGAACGCACAUUGCGCUCGCCAGUAUUCUGGCGAGCAUGCCUGUUCGAGCGUCAUUUCAACCAUCAAGCUCUGCUUGCGUUGGGGAUCCGCGGCUGCCCGCGGUCCCUCAAAAACAGUGGCGGGCUCGCUAGUCACACCGAGCGUAGUAACUCUACAUCGCUAUGGUCGUGCGGCGGGUUCUUGCCGUAAAACCCCCCAAUUUCUAAGGUUGACCUCGGAUCAGGUAGGAGUACCCGCUGAACUUAA
rnacentral:rRNA from 1 species